rnacentral:ncRNA from 1 species
ACCGAUAGAGGCGCGGCAUUCAAAACAGUACCGCCGACCGAGGCAGCCAUUGCCGACAGCAGGUCGAUGAGAAAGGUUGUGCCGCCGAAGGGUCUGUCCGUGAAUGGCGCGGCGGGCGCCUGGGGGUGCGGUCAACAGCCGUACCACUGUCAUCAUUAUUUGAUGGAGUGCUAUCUU